GACGAACGCUGGCGGCGUGGAUUAGGCAUGCAAGUCGGACGGUAGGGCUUUAUCGUAAGAUAGAGUUUGAGAGUGGCGAACGGGUGAGUAACACGUAGGAAUCUACCCUUAAGACGGGGACAACCCAGGGAAACUUGGGCUAAUACCGGAUGAGAGUGCGAGAGAUUGCAUUUAAAAGGAUGGCGAAAGUUGUCGCUUAGGGAUGAGCCUGCGGUCUAUUAGUUAGUUGGUGAGGUAAGAGCUCACCAAGGCGAUGAUAGAUAGGCGGCCUUAACGGGUGGUCGCCCACACUGGGAUUGAGAUACGGCCCAGACUCCUACGGGAGGCAGCAGUGGGGAAUAUUGGACAAUGGGCGAAAGCCUGAUCCAGCAAAUGCCGCGUGAAGUGAUGAAGGCCUUAGGGUUGUAAAGCUCUUUUACCAGGGAUGAUAAUGACAGUACCUGGAGAAUAAGCUCCGGCUAAACUCCGUG
rnacentral:rRNA from 1 species